rnacentral:piRNA from 1 species
CUGCUGCUGAUCGGGGACUCGGG